rnacentral:rRNA from 1 species
ACUCCACAUACGCAUCCUUUGCUGAGGAUACGGUUAACGGAGCGAAAGCGACGUUCAACCUCAAAAGAAGCAGAGGGGGCUUAGUGGUGGGGUGACUGCGUACCUUUUGUAUAAUGGGUCAGCGACUUAUAUUCUGUAGCAAGGUUAACCGAAUAGGGGAGCCGGAGGGAAACCGAGUCUUAACCGGGCGUUAAGUUGCAGGGUAUAGACCCGAAACCCGGUGAUCUAGCCAUGGGCAGGUUGAAGGUUGGGUAACACUAACUGGAGGACCGAACCGACUAAUGUUGAAAAAUUAGCGGAUGACCUGUGGCUGGGGGUGAAAGGCCAAUCAAACCGGGAGAUAGCUGGUUCUCCCCGAAAGCUAUUUAGGUAGCGCCUCGUGAAUUCAUCUCCGGGGGUAGAGCACUGUUUCGGCUAGGGGGUCAUCCCGACUUACCAACCCGAUGCAAACUGCGAAUACCGGAGAAUGUUAUCACGGGAGACACACGGCGGGUGCUAACGUCCGUCGUGAAGAGGGAAACAACCCAGACCGCCAGCUAAGGUCCCAAAGUCAUGGUUAAGUGGGAAACGAUGUGGGAAGGCCCAGACAGCCAGGAUGUUGGCUUAGAAGCAGCCAUCAUUUAAAGAAAGCGUAAUAGCUCACUGGUCGAGUCGGCCUGCGCGGAAGAUGUAACGGGGCUAAACCAUGCACCGAAGCUGCGGCAGCGACACUAUGUGUUGUUGGGUAGGGGAGCGUUCUGUAAGCCUGCGAAGGUGUCUCGUGAGGGAUGCUGGAGGUAUCAGAAGUGCGAAUGCUGACAUAAGUAACGAUAAUGCGGGUGAAAAACCCGCACGCCGGAAGACCAAGGGUUCCUGUCCAACGUUAAUCGGGGCAGGGUGAGUCGACCCCUAAGGCGAGGCCGAAAGGCGUAGUCGAUGGGAAACAGGUUAAUAUUCCUGUACUUGGUGUUACUGCGAAGGGGGGACGGAGAAGGCUAUGUUGGCCGGGCGACGGUUGUCCCGGUUUAAGCGUGUAGGUGUGUGUUCCAGGUAAAUCCGGUUCACUUUAACACUGAGGCGUGAUGACGAGGCACUACGGUGCUGAAGCAACAAAUGCCCUGCUUCCAGGAAAAGCCUCUAAGCAUCAGGUAACAUCAAAUCGUACCCCAAACCGACACAGGUGGUCAGGUAGAGAAUACCAAGGCGCUUGAGAGAACUCGGGUGAAGGAACUAGGCAAAAUGGUGCCGUAACUUCGGGAGAAGGCACGCUGAUAUGUAGGUGAAGUGGUUUACCCAUGGAGCUGAAAUCAGUCGAAGAUACCAGCUGGCUGCAACUGUUUAUUAAAAACACAGCACUGUGCAAACACGAAAGUGGACGUAUACGGUGUGACGCCUGCCCGGUGCCGGAAGGUUAAUUGAUGGGGUUAUCCGUAAGGAGAAGCUCUUGAUCGAAGCCCCGGUAAACGGCGGCCGUAACUAUAACGGUCCUAAGGUAGCGAAAUUCCUUGUCGGGUAAGUUCCGACCUGCACGAAUGGCGUAAUGAUGGCCAGGCUGUCUCCACCCGAGACUCAGUGAAAUUGAACUCGCUGUGAAGAUGCAGUGUACCCGCGGCAAGACGGAAAGACCCCGUGAACCUUUACUAUAGCUUGACACUGAACACUGGUCCUUGAUGUGCAGGAUAGGUGGGAGGCUUUGAAGCGCGGACGCCAGUUCGUGUGGAGCCAUCCUUGAAAUACCACCCUUUAAUGGCUGGUGUUCUAACGUAGACCCGUGAUCCGGGUUGCGGACAGUGUCUGGUGGGUAGUUUGACUGGGGCGGUCUCCUCCUAAAGAGUAACGGAGGAGCACGAAGGUUAGCUAAUCCUGGUCGGACAUCAGGAGGUUAGUGCAAAGGCAUAAGCUAGCUUGACUGCGAGCGUGACGGCGCGAGCAGGUGCGAAAGCAGGUC